GCUCAGUGCCGGUGUCUAUCAUGCCCCCUUGGUAAGUUCUCUAGCAGUUCUGGAAUCGCGUCGGACACCGCGACAAUGUGUUCAGUCACACGAGUCUGUUCUUCAGUCUUCUUCUGUCUGUCUGCUGCCUGGAGGAAGAUGAUGACUUCUGUCUUUCCCUCUCGGAAUAUCUCUCUCUCUGUUGAGGAGACCAGACCAGAACUAUCCCAGAGUUCAGUGCGUCCGUGUUUACUCACUGAGGAGGAGGAGGAGGAUGAAGAGCAAUCAUUGGCUUUUCAUUAAUCGAAUCACUGUAUCACUCGUUCAUUCUAAAUCAUUUCUAAUAUAUUUCUAUAUAUAUAUAUUUGAGAAGUAGGUGUCUCGUGGUCAUGCUGACCUACAAAGAGAUUUUUCUCAUAUCUCCCUUCAUAUACCUUCACACACCCUGCUCAAUUAAAAAAGACUUUUAU